GUGCACUUUCCUGAAUCCUUUCCUGUCAAUUUCCCUCCAUUCAUUAGCAGGAGCAAAAAUGAUCCUGUGGCUAAACUUGGUGUCCUUUUUGGCAGUCUUCAGAGGUGUCCAGUCUGAGGCCCAGUUGGUGGAGUCUGGAGGGGACGUGAGGAGCCCUGGAGAGUCCCUCCGUCUCUCCUGCCAAGCCUCCGGGUUCGACUUCAGCAGCUACAACAUGGACUGGGUGCGACAGGCCCCUGGAAAAGGGCUGGAAUGGGUGGCCCACAUAAAUCCAAGUUCUGGUACUUACUACUCGGACAAAGUCAAGGGACGCUUCACCACCUCCAGGGACAACGCCAAGAGCCAACUCUAUCUGCACAUGAACACCCUGAAGCCAGAGGACUCAGCAGUCUAUUACUGUGCGAGGGAC